rnacentral:lncRNA from 1 species
AUUUUUGAUGUCAUGACUGUAGAGCAGAGGAUUCCAAUGGUGCUAUUGGGAUCUAAUGGGUAGAGGCCAGGGAUACUGGUAAGAACCCCACAAUGCACAGGACGCUUCCUCACGACGAUGAGUUACGCAACCCCAGAUGCCAGCGUUACAGAGCUUGAGAAGCCCAGCUGUAAAGGGAGACAGCGAAGAAAACACAGGCUUCUGGAGAGGCAGCCAGGAGGGCGUGGAAAUUGUGUGCGCAGGUGACUUGACAUCUGCAGCCAUCGAGGUUAAGGGGACUGAGGCCCCAGGACACUUUUCAACAGUAACUGUGACCAGUCCAAGUGGUCAGAGUCAGUGGAAUUCCCAAGGAGACGGGGCCGGGAAGACUUCAUCUGAGGGGCUCACUCCUGGGACGAGCUAUCCAGUCAGCUUUUCAGACGCCUCUUCUACCUGCUGUCAAGUGC